GAUGAACGCUGGCGGCGUGCCUAAUACAUGCAAGUCGAGCGAACAGACGAGGAGCUUGCUCCUCUGACGUUAGCGGCGGACGGGUGAGUAACACGUGGAUAACCUACCUAUAAGACUGGGAUAACUUCGGGAAACCGGAGCUAAUACCGGAUAAUAUAUUGAACCGCAUGGUUCAAUAGUGAAAGACGGUUUUGCUGUCACUUAUAGAUGGAUCCGCGCCGCAUUAGCUAGUUGGUAAGGUAACGGCUUACCAAGGCAACGAUGCGUAGCCGACCUGAGAGGGUAAUCGGCCAAACGGGAACUGAGACACGGUCCAGACUCCUACGGGAGGCAGCAGUAGGGAAUCUUCCGCAAUGGGCGAAAGCCUGACGGAGCAACGCCGCGUGAGUGAUGAAGGUCUUCGGAUCGUAAACUCUGUUAUUAGGGAAGAACAAAUGUGUAAGUAACUAUGCACGUCUUGACGGUACCUAAUCAGAAAGCCACGGCUAACUACGUG
rnacentral:rRNA from 1 species